CUUGUGACUUGUAAUAAAGAGAAUUCUCGUAAUAGAUAUGUAGUGCGAGUCCUACAAAUCACAUCCAUAUACAAGCGCAUGCAGAAAGGAAAAUGAGAACUAUGGUCAAUAUGAUUUCGAGAUUGAACGGUUCAAGACACAUGGGUUUAUACUGUCUCCUACAUGAUGCUCUCACAUGCAACAUGAACCUACAAAUUUUUGAACAAACAUCCAAAUUACUAUAGUAUUCUCUCACCUAUGUUCAAUGAUUUAGGGGACCCAAAAAAACCCUCGUAAGGAAACUUCUUUUUAUAUUAGAAAGACCCAAAUCCCCCAGAGCAUCAAAUUCCAAAUGAUAAUCCACCUGGGGCAAGGUCCAAAACCUGAAGAACUAGUAUCGGUGACACCGAUAAGAAACCUGCAAUCACCAACUGAUGGGUCUCGGAAUGUAACCAUACCAAGACCAUCAAAAUCACAGCUUUGUGGAUUUUGAUCUUGAAGCUGAUAGUAACUGUUGAAAGCAUAAGAGAUAUUUCCCUUUGCCCCAAUUCCAUUGCAUGAUCCCCCAUAAUUGAGUGUUGUACAAUCUGCAAAACCACAAGCAAUUCUCAUGUGGUUAGUCACAUCAGACAGAUCUUUGGUCGGAUCAGCCACACACCACCUAGAUGGGAGAUAUUGAACAUUCUUGGCAUUCUUCAAUAACUUGUUGCCCAAACCAAGGUUCAAUGGAUAUUUAGCCUGGCCAUCACAGGAAAAAAUCCACCAGUGCCUUUCAAAACUUCCUGGAAGUAUGCUCUUUGCCCCUUCAUCAAGUAGACUGAAAAGAUAAAUAUCCAUGGGAGGAGCACCUGGUCUAAGAGGGGUUCCUUUGUUACUUAAAACAUUAUUUAUGAGUCCCUGGUUGAAAGCUCUUGCGGCAGUGAGGUUUGCACUGAUGGCUCCAUCAGUUGGCCAACCCACCUCCCCAAUAACUAUAGGCAUCUGACCAUAUCCAAGUUUGUUGAGGGCAGCAACUAAAGUAUCAAAAUUUCCAUCAAAUGCAUUGUAGUAGACAUUAGGCCCAUCUGUAACAGGAUGGGUACUCCCUUCAAAGAAUGCAUAAUCUUGGGGAAAAUCUGUGCUCCCAUAGAGACUAAGAAAUGGGUAAAUAUUGACAACAAAAGGGGAACCAUUUGAGUUGAGGAAGGAAACAAGUUGAGUUAUAAUUUCAGUUAACUCAGGUCGAAAUGCCCCUUGAGAAGGUAGGGAGGAUUCAUAGGCAUCUGCAUUGCAAGGGACCACUAGCUUUACAUAACCAGCGAGAUUUGCUUUAGCCAAAGACUGCUGUAAAUUGAGCAGGGCAGGCAUUACAUAGGAUUGAAAUUGACCAGAAUAACUAGAUAGGAAUGGUUCAUUUCCUACAGCUACAUACCUGCCAUUGUUUGGUAUGAAGAAAAAAUACAGUGAGAAAUCUGGAACGCCUGAUAUGUAUAGAAUGUUACAAUACAUCUCAACUUUUAUAUAUGCAGAAAUCAGAAUUCUGCAAAUCAGAUUUCAGAACUUGAAACAAACUAUCCUUAACUGAUGGACUUCCAAAACAACAACAAAAUUUAAGCCUUAAUCCCAAAAUAGUUGGGGACAAUAUGGGUCAUUUUUCACCAUUCAACUUUGUUUGAGAUCAAUUCUUCAAUACUUGUAAAUCUUUUAAUACUACUUCUUUCUACGUCAUUUUAGGUCUCUCCCUUUUUGUCCUUACUUCUUCCAUCACUAAUUUAUCACAUUCCUCCCCUUCAUCCCCUCUAGAGAGCUAAACUUGCAAUGUAUAUAUUCUAUCUUAUUUCUAAUUAGCCUAAAACCCUUACUCUCAAAAGUACUUUUCCACAACUACAACUUUUAAUUAACUAUUUCACUAGUUUCAUCCACUAAGAUAAUAUAUCAUCUACAAAUAAUAUACAGCAUGAGAUAUCAUCUUGAAUAGGAUUAAUUAGCUUAUUCAUAACUAAGGCAAACAAAUAUAGACUCAAAGUCGAUCUCUAAUAUAAACCAAUUAUUAUGAAAAAUUCAUUUGUAUCCCUUUCCACUAUUCUUACACAUGUAACCGCCUCCGCAUACAUGUCCAUAAUGAUAUUUAUAUAUUGAUGGGCUUUCAAAAGUGAGUUGUAAAUUAUUAUUGAGACACUAACAACUAUCAAGCUUCUUAAUCGCAUGAUUUGAGAACUAGACUCCAAAAUCAUAAUUCAUAUCAAGCAAGUGUAGAACUAGUUUGAGGUAUACCCACUUAAACUCCAUAGGUUUUGAUGUAGCAUCCUCACCUAAUUAUCCCUUCAUACAGCUUUUGAAACAAUUUCAGCCCACAAAAUAGAAAUAGCAUCUGAUCUUGCACAGGUGGAAAAAUUCUCUCUCUCUCUCUCUCCCCACAAUAAAAAUCACUCAUUUCUUUCUUUGAUUUAUCUCUGCUCUGCAAUACCAAAAGCUCCUGUCCUCAGUUCCCUCUCUCUUUCUCUCUCUGGGGUUAGGGUUUUGUUGACGUAGUAGAUGGGGCAGCAAUCGUUGAUCUACAGCUUCGUGGCGAGAGGGACGGUGAUUUUGGCAGAGUUUACGGAGUUCACCGGCAACUUUACAAGCAUAGCAGCUCAGUGCCUCCAGAAACUUCCGGCCACCAACAACAAGUUCACAUACAAUUGUGAUGGCCACACCUUCAACUACCUCGUCGAUAACGGCUUCACUUACUGUGUAGUUGCAGUUGAGUCUGUUGGCCGACAGGUUCCAAUUGCCUUCCUUGAGCGAAUCAAGGAAGAUUUCAUCAAGAGAUAUGGUGGAGGAAAAGCUGCAACAGCUGUUGCUAAUAGCCUGAACAAGGAAUUUGGGCCCAAAUUGAAGGAGCAGAUGCAAUACUGUGUGGAUCACCCUGAGGAGGUCAGUAAGCUUGCCAAGGUGAAAGCUCAGGUUUCAGAAGUCAAAGGGGUUAUGAUGGAAAACAUAGAGAAGGUGAGGCGCUACUUCUACAUUUUUUUUAUACUUUCUAAACGGAACUACAAAACAAACAUCUUCUGUAUGGUUUGAGCAGGCUUUACUUUUGUUGAUUGAGUGUGAAGGGUCCUUUUGUGUGUUACUAUUUCAAUCAUGGAUCAUAAAAAGGUUUGGAAGAUGGAACUGUGUUGUUGAUUAAUUGAGUUUUAUUCUGCAGGUUCUUGACCGUGGAGAGAAAAUUGAGCUUCUUGUUGACAAAACUGAAAAUCUUCGCUCUCAGGUGAAUGAAUGAAAUAUCAUUUGGUUUUUUCCCCAAGAUUAUAUCGUUUUUUUUAGCCAAACUGAAAAUGUAUUUUAUAUAGAGCAAGGUUUCUGGAUAUCAAGGGGCUGACUAGGGGCUGACUAGUUCAACCCUCUUGGUGAAGAAAGUAGAUCUGCAAAUCUUGAAUACCACGCAUUUAAGCAACUUUCAUAACUCAUUUUAACAAUUAUAUCUUAGCAUCAAAUUCAAAGCAUGACAAUACUGCUGCAAUCCUUAAGAAUUCAACUAUUUAAUAAUAUCUACAGUCAUCUGGCAUCAACUUUUUUUCUUUUUUUUGAAAUUUUUAACCUGCCAAUUGAAAUGCAUUUCCAAAAACAUGAAACUGUUGGCCAGUCUCUCUUCCAUUCAUAAAAGUAGCAAUGGUGGGGUGAGGUAGGCCUUUGCCUGUUGAUAUGGUAUGAUCAUGCUGUGCUAGUUUCUUGGUCCAUGCUUGGGGCACCCUCUGCCUUUCGCUUUUAACUUUUUGAACUAAAAAAACAUAAAAGUAGCAACUCUCUGGAAAAGUGAAUAUUUGUUGGGAUUUGUUUUAAUUAUAUCAGUUGCUCCUGUUAGUCUGUCUUUAGUCGUUGGCAUGGCUUCCUUUCCAUUGACUUGUGUGUGAUGAAUUACUUGGUUGUUUCAGGCACAAGAUUUCAGACAACAGGGAACCAAGAUGAGGAGGAAGAUGUGGUUGCAGAACAUGAAAAUUAAGCUGAUAGUGCUGGGUAUCUUGAUUGCCUUGAUUCUCAUCAUAGUACUGUCCGUUUGUGGUGGCUUCAAAUGUCACUAGUUUCAAUGAUAAUGAUUUACCUAUACUUUUUUGUGUUAUUACCACUUUCUGCUAUAGUCUAUAUCAUGAAGACAGUGCUUGUAUAGCUUGUGUUUUGAAUUCUUUUGCAACCUGUGAGUUUCUUUAUGUGUGGAAGUUUGUCAUCCCAUGUUAUAAUUUUGUUGUCACUCGGUAUUACUUUGAUUGAUGAAGUUCAGUCACAUGAAGUUGGAAGUAAAUAACAAUGGCUUCACAGAUAUUCCAUCUCAGUUCUUUCAGGUGAAUGCAUUGUUUUGGUAA
rnacentral:misc_RNA from 1 species